AGAGCGAACGCUGGCGGCAGGCCUAACACAUGCAAGUCGAACGCCCAGCAAUGGGAGUGGCAGACGGGAUAGUAACACGUGGGAACGCGCCCUUCGGUUCGGAAUAACUCAGGGAAACUUGAGCUAAUACCGGAUACGCCCUUACGGGGAAAGAUUUAUUGCCGAAGGAACGGCCCGCGUCGGAUUAGCUAGUUGGUGAGGUAAUGGCUCACCAAGGCGACGAUCCGUAGCUGGUCUGAGAGGAUGACCAGCAUCACUGGGACUGAGACACGGCCCAGACUCCUACGGGAGGCAGCAGUGGGGAAUAUUGGACAAUGGGCGCAAGCCUGAUCCAGCCAUGCCGCGUGGAUGAUGAAGGCCUUAGGGUUGUAAAGUCCUUUUAACGGGGAAGAUAAUGACGGUACCCGUAGAAUAAGCCCCGGCUAACUUCGUGCCAGCAGCCGC
rnacentral:rRNA from 1 species